ACAGCCUAUAGCUGAUUGACUUGCUCUACAUACACUAUGAUACAUUUACCAGGUCCGUCCAGCUGCAUCGUUGCUUCAUAUUGGAAACAUAUACAGCCUAUAGCUGAUUGACUUGCUCUACAUACACUAUGAUACAUUUACCAGGUCCGUCCAGCUGCAUCGUUGCUUCAUAUUGGAAACAUAUACAGCCUAUAGCUGAUUGACUUGCUCUACAUACACUAUGAUACAUUUACCAGGUCCGUCCAGCUGCAUCGUUGCUUCAUAUUGGAAACAUAUACAGCCUAUAGCUGAUUGACUUGCUCUACAUACACUAUGAUACAUUUACCAGGUCCGUCCAGCUGCAUCGUUGCUUCAUAUUGGAAACAUAUACAGCCUAUAGCUGAUUGACUUGCUCUA